rnacentral:rRNA from 1 species
CUCAGGAUGAACGCUGGCGGCGUGCCUAACACAUGCAAGUCGAACGAAGCACCUUGAUUUCUUCGGAUUGAUUGGUGACUGAGUGGCGGACGGGUGAGUAACGCGUGGGUAACCUGCCGUAUGCAGGGGGACAACAGUUGGAAACGACUGCUAAUACCGCAUAAGCGCACAGUGCUGCAUGGCACAGUGUGAAAAGAUUUAUCGGCAUACGAUGGACCCGCGUCUGAUUAGCUAGUUGGUGAGGUAACGGCUCACCAAGGCGACGAUCAGUAGCCGGCCUGAGAGGGUGGACGGCCACAUUGGGACUGAGACACGGCCCAAACUCCUACGGGAGGCAGCAGUGGGGAAUAUUGCACAAUGGGGGAAACCCUGAUGCAGCGACGCCGCGUGAGUGAAGAAGUAUUUCGGUAUGUAAAGCUCUAUCAGCAGGGAAGAAAAUGACGGUACCUGACUAAGAAGCACCGGCUAAAUACGUG